rnacentral:misc_RNA from 1 species
AAGUCGUAACAAGGUUUCUGUAGGUGAACCUGCGGAAGGAUUAUUACCUUUCUGGCUAUUUAAUAGCUUGUCUAGGGGCUGUAGUUUCUGCAGUCCCUGACUACAUCUGUGUUUUUGCGUACUACAUGUUUCCUUGGCGGGCUUGCUCGCCGGUAGGACAAACUAAAACUCUUUGCAAUUGUAAUUAGCGUCUGAAUUAUAUAAUAAUUA